GGCAAAGGUACAGAAUGGUAGGCAGGCUCAGGGUCAGGUUAGGCAGAGGUUGGUAAUCCAGAGAUGGGGCAAAGGUACAGAAUGGUAGGCAGGCUCAGGGUCAGGUUAGGCAGAGGUUGGUAAUCCAGAGAUGGGGCAAAGGUACAGAAUGGUAGGCAGGCUCAGGGUCAGGUCAGGCAGAGGUUGGUAAUCCAGAGAUGGGGCAAAGGUACAGAAUGGUAGGCAGGCUCAGGGUCAGGUCAGGCAGAGGUUGGUAAUCCAGAGAUGGGGCAAAGGUACAGAAUGGUAGGCAGGCUCAGGGUCAGGUCAGGCAGAGGUUGGUAAUCCAGAGAUGUGGCAAAGGUUGAUCAAAAACCAGGAGGAUGGGAAAAGAGAGACUGGGGAAAAGCAGGAGCUGACACAAAAACACUGGUUGGC